UCCGUUUUAUCAACGGCAGUCUCAAUAGAGUGCCCGGCCGAACCGCUGGCAACUAUCGACAAGGGUUGCGCUCGUUGCGGGACUUAACCCAACAUCUCACGACACGAGCUGACGACAGCCAUGCAGCACCUUGCAUCCUGUCUGGUGUUACCCAGAAGGGCGCAUCUCUGCGCCUGUCAGGAGCAUUCUAGCCCAGGUAAGGUUCUUCGCGUUGCGUCGAAUUAAACCACAUGCUCCACCGCUUGUGCGGGUCCCCGUCAAUUCCUUUGAGCUUCAGCCUUGCGGCCGUACUCCCCAGGCGGGAUGCUUAAGGCGUUAGCGACGGCACCCGGGGACUUUGUAACCCCGGACACCAAGCAUCCAUCGUUUAAGGCUAGGACUAC
rnacentral:misc_RNA from 1 species